rnacentral:rRNA from 1 species
UCAGGAUAAACGCUGGCGGCGUGCUUAACACAUGCAAGUCGAACGGAGUGGUUCUCCCGAGGAUUGAUAGUGCUUGCACUUGAUUGACUCAUUGAAUCACUUAGUGGCGGACGGGUGAGUAACGCGUGGGAAACCUGCCCUAUACUGGGGGAUAGCAGUUGGAAACGACUGAUAAUACCGCAUAAGCGCACAGCUUCGCAUGAAGCAGUGUGAAAAAACUCCGGUGGUAUAGGAUGGUCCCGCGUCUGAUUAGCUAGUUGGUGAGGUAACGGCCCCACCAAGGCGACGAUCAGUAGCCGGCCUGAGAGGGUGUACGGCCACAUUGGGACUGAGACACGGCCCAAACUCCUACGGGAGGCAGCAGUGGGGAAUAUUGGACAAUGGGGGAAACCCUGAAUCCAGCGACGCCGCGUGAACGAUGAAGUAUUUCGGUACGUAAAGUUCUAUCAGCAGGGAAGAUAAUGACGGUACCUGACUAAGAAGCACCGGCUAAAUACGUGCCAGCCGCCGC